rnacentral:piRNA from 1 species
UCACAGAACUGGGUGGAGCUAUGUCC